GACGAACGCUGGCGGCGUGCUUAACACAUGCAAGUCGAGCGAUUCUCUUCGGAGAAGAGCGGCGGACGGGUGAGUAACGCGUGGGUAACCUGCCCUGUACACACGGAUAACAUACCGAAAGGUAUGCUAAUACGGGAUAUAUGCUUUAGUCGCCUGGCUGAAGUAUCAAAGAUCCGGCGGUACAGGAUGGACCCGCGUCUGAUUAGCUAGUUGGUAAGGUAACGGCUUACCAAGGCGACGAUCAGUAGCCGACCUGAGAGGGUGAUCGGCCACAUUGGAACUGAGACACGGUCCAAACUCCUACGGGAGGCAGCAGUGGGGAAUAUUGCACAAUGGGCGAAAGCCUGAUGCAGCAACGCCGCGUGAGCGAUGAAGGCCUUCGGGUCGUAAAGCUCUGUCCUCAAGGAAGAUAAUGACGGUACUUGAGGAGGAAGCCCCGGCUAACUACGUGCCAGCCGCCGCUGUAA
rnacentral:rRNA from 1 species